GGGCCGGUAGCUUAGCCUGGUUAGAGCGGCGGACUCUUAAUCCGCAGGUCGGGGGUUCGAAUCCCCCCCGGCCCGCCA
rnacentral:tRNA from 8 species